rnacentral:rRNA from 1 species
AAGGAAUAUUGGACAAUGGCCGCAAGGCUGAUCCAGCCAUGCCGCGUGCAGGAAGAAGGCCCUAUGGGUCGUAAACUGCUUUUGAACAAGAGAAAACCCCUCUACGUGUAGAGGGCUGAUAGUAUUGUUAGAAUAAGCAUCGGCUAACUUCGUGCCAGCAGCCGCGGUAAGACGAAGGAUGCAAGCGUUAUCCGGAUUCAUUGGGUUUAAAGGGAGCGUAGGCGGACUUGUAAGUCAGUGGUGAAAUCUUUGGGCUUAACCCAGAAACUGCCAUUGAUACUGCAAGUCUAGAGUACAGUUGCCGUUGGCGGAAUAUGACAUGUAGUGGUGAAAUACUUAGAUAUGUCAUAGAACACCGAUUGCGAAGGCAGCUAACGAAGCUGUAACUGACGCUGAGGCUCGAAAGUGCGGGGAUCAAAC